GGUAGUUGGCGGGGUAACGGCCCACCAAGCCUGCGAUCAGUAACUGGUGUGAGAGCACGACCAGUCACACGGGCACUGAGACACGGGCCCGACUCCUACGGGAGGCAGCAGUAAGGAAUAUUGGUCAAUGGACGCAAGUCUGAACCAGCCAUGCCGCGUGGAGGAUGAAGGUCCUCUGGAUUGUAAACUUCUUUUAUUUGGGAAGAAACCCACGGUUUCUACUGUGGUUGACGGUACCAGAUGAAUAAGCACCGGCUAACUCCGUGCCAGCAGCCGCGGUAAUACGGAGGGUGCAAGCGUUAUCCGGAUUCACUGGGUUUAAAGGGUGCGUAGGCGGGCAGGUAAGUCAGUGGUGAAAUCCCCGAGCUUAACUUGGGAACUGCCGUUGAUACUAUCUGUCUUGAAUACUAUGGAGGUAAGCGGAAUAUGUCAUGUAGCGGUGAAAUGCUUAGAUAUGACAUAGAACACCAAUUGCGAAGGCAGCUUGCUACACAGUUAUUGACGCUGAGGCACGAAAGCGUGGGGAUCAAACAGGAUUAGAUACCCUGGUAGUCCACGCCCUAAACGAUGGAUACUCGACAUCAGCGAUACACUGUUGGUGUCUGAGCGAAAGCAUUAAGUAUCCCACCUGGGAAGUACGACCGCAAGGUUGAAACUCAAAGGAAUUGGCGGGGGUCCGCACAAGCGGUGGAGCAUGUGGUUUAAUUCGACGAUACGCGAGGAACCUUACCUGGGCUAGAAUGCAUUUUGACCGUGGGUGAAAGCUCACUUUGUAGCAAUACACAAUUUGUAAGGUGCUGCAUGGCUGUCGUCAGCUCGUGCCGUGAGGUGUUGGGUUAAGUCCCGCAACGAGCGCAACCCCCAUCAUUAGUUGCCAUCAGGUAAAGCUGGGAACUCUAAUGAAACUGCCGUCGUAAGACGCGAGGAAGGAGGGGAUGAUGUCAAGUCAUCAUGGCCUUUAUGCCCAGGGCUACACACGUGCUACAAUGGGGAGGACAAAGGGCUGCCACUUGGUGACAAGGAGCUAAUCCCAAAAACCUCCUCUCAGUUCAGAUUGGAGUCUGCAACUCGACUCCAUGAAGCUGGAAUCGCUAGUAAUCGUAUAUCAGCAAUGAUACGGUGAAUACGUUCCCGGACCUUGCACACACCGCCCGUCAAGCCAUGGAAGCUGGGUUUACCUAAUGUCGGUAACCGCAAGGAGCCGCCUA
rnacentral:rRNA from 1 species